CCUCUCAUGGCGUAGUGGUUAACGCGCCACAACUAGAGAUCGGGGAGUCGUGAGUUCGAUUCUCACUGAGAAGA
rnacentral:tRNA from 1 species